rnacentral:misc_RNA from 1 species
GAUGAAGAACGUAGCGAAAUGCGAUACUUGGUGUGAAUUGCAGAAUCCCGUGAACCAUCGAGUCUUUGAACGCAAGUUGCGCCCGAAGCCAUUAGGCCGAGGGCACGCCUGCCUGGGCGUCACACGUCGUUGCCCCCCCAUCUACUCCUUCGGGAUUGCGGGGGGCGGAUGAUGGCCUCUCGUGCGCCUCGUCGCGCGGUUGGCCUAAAUGCCAAGUCCUCGGCGACGCACGCCACGACAAUCGGUGGUUGCGAAACCUCGGUUGCCUGUCGUGUGCGGUCGUCGCGCAUCGAGGGCUCGAAAAAAUUGCCGGGCUUCGGCUCGACUUUCAACGCGACCCCAGGUCAGGCGGGGUUACCCACUGAAUUUAAGCAUAUCAAUAAGCGGAGGA